AUUGUUGAUAGCCAUAGGGCAUUAGUUUUGAAGGGACUAAUAGAUUUACAACAAGUAUA
rnacentral:tRNA from 1 species